ACAGCAGCUUUAGUUAGAACAGACAGGAUAUCUAUCUAGGUGGGAGACAGCAGGUUUAGUUAGAACAGACAGGAUAUCUAUCUAGGUGGAAGACAGCACCUUUAGUUAGAACAGACAGGAUAUCUAUCUAGGUGGAAGACAGCACCUUUAGUUAGAACAGACAGGAUAUCUAUCUAGGUGGAAGACAGCACCUUUAGUUAGAACAGACAGGAUAUCUAUCUAGGUGGAAGACAGCACCUUUAGUUAGAACAGACAGGAUAUCUAUCUAGGUGGAAGACAGCACCUUUAGUUAGAACAGACAGGAUAUCUAUCUAGGUGGAAGACAGCACCUUUAGUUAGAACAGACAGGAUAUCUAUCUAGGUGGACGACAGCAGCUUUAGUUAGAACAGACAGGAUAUCUAUCUAGGUGGACGACAGCAGCUUUAGUUAGAACAGACAGGAUAUCUAUCUAGGUGGACGACAGCAGCUUUAGUUAGAACAGACAGGAUAUCUAUCGAGGUGGACGACCGCAGCUUUAGUUAGAACAGACAGGAUAUCUAUCUAGGUGGACGACAGCAGCUUUAGUUAGAACAGACAGGAUAUCUAUCUAGGUGGAAGACCACAGCUUUAGUUAGAACAGACAGGAUAUCUAUCUAGGUGGAAGACAGCAGCUUUAGUUAGAACAGACAGGAUAUCUAUCUAGGUGGAAGACAGCAGCUUUAGUUAGAACAGACAGGAUAUCUAUCUAGGUGGACGACAGCAGCUUUAGUUAGAACAGACAGGAUAUCUAUCUAGGUGGAAGACAGCAGCUUUAGUUAGAACAGACAGGAUAUCUAUCUAGGUGGACGACAGCAGCUUUAGUUAGAACAGACAGGAUAUCUAUCUAGGUGGGAGACAGCAGCUUUAGUUAGAACAGACAGGAUAUCUAUCUAGGUGGAAGACCGCAGCUUUAGUUAGAAUAGACAGGAUAUCUAUCUAGGUGGGAGACAGCACCUUUAGUUAGAACAGACAGGAUAUCUAUCGAGGUGGGCGACAGCACCUUUAGUUAGAACAGACAGGAUAUCUAUCUAGGUGGAAGACAGCACCUUUAGUUAGAACAGACAGGAUAUCUAUCUAGGUGGAAGACAGCACCUUUAGUUAGAACAGACAGGAUAUCUAUCUAGGUGGACGACAGCACCUUUAGUUAGAACAGACAGGAUAUCUAUCUAGGUGGGAGACAGCACCUUUAGUUAGAACAGACAGGAUAUCUAUCUAGGUGGCAGACAGCACCUUUAGUUAGAACAGACAGGAUAUCUAUCUAGGUGGGAGACAGCAGGUUUAGUUAGAACAGACAGGAUAUCUAUCUAGGUGGAAGACAGCAGCUUUAGUUAGAACAGACAGGAUAUCUAUCUAGGUGGGAGACAGCAGGUUUGGUUAGAACAGACAGGAUAUCUAUCUAGGUGGAAGACCGCAGCUUUAGUUAGAACAGACAGGAUAUCUAUCUAGGUGGAAGACCGCAGCUUUAGUUAGAACAGACAGGA